rnacentral:rRNA from 1 species
UAACACGGGGAGGGCGAGCGUUGUUCGGAUUUACUGGGCGUAAAGGGCGUGUAGGUGUCCUUGUAAGUCGAGUGUGAAAGCCCCCCGCUCAACGGGGGAACUGCACUUGAUACUGUAGGGAUAGAGUUUAGGAGAGGAGAGCGGAAUUCUCGGUGUAGCGGUGAUAUGCGUAGAUAUCGAGAAGAACACCUGUGGCGUAGGCGGCUCUCUAGCCUAUAACUGACACUGAGACGCGAAAGCUAGGGUAGCGAACGGGAUUAGAUACCCCGGUAGUCCUAGCCGUAAACGAUGUGCACUUGGUGUUCGUCCGCGAGGAGGAGUGCCGGAGCUAACGCGUUAAGUGCACCGCCUGGGGAGUACGGUCGCAAGGCUG